CCGACCCGUCCAGAACUUGCCUACCAGUCGUAUCAUGCCGCGUGUCCGUCGGGCAUAAAAAAUCCGCGUGGUCUCCUGCACGAAACCGACGAGGCUUUGAAACAACCGACUUUGUCGCACUAAAUAGCGUUCAACGCCUGAGCAAAUCAGUUCUCUUCUAUUCUUGAUCGUUGUUAGGGUUUCGUUUGAUUUUGUGCGAUUGGCUGUAUGAUUAAUUUUGAGAAAUUUAGCGAUUUUAUUUGGAUUUGGAUAUCGUCUAAUCGGAAGUUUAUGCUUUGUUUGGUUUCGGAAAGAAUCAGAUGCGGAGUAAAUCGAGUUUGUUCGAUCGGUCAAUCUGAGGCGAAUUUAGUGCGUUCUUGAUGUGAUUUUGCUUCUUUGGAUUCGUCCUUUUGUGGUCUUUAUUGAGAAUUUGGUACAAUUCCCGGUCGAUCGGUCAAUCUGAGAUGAAUUUAAUGGGUUCUUGAUGUAGUUUUGCCUCUUUGGAUUCGUUCUUCUGUGGCCUUUAUUGAGAAUUUGGUACAAUUCCCGGUCGAUCGGUCAAUCUGAGAUGAAUUUAAUGGGUUCUUGAUGUAGUUUUGCCUCUUUGGAUUCGUUCUUCUGUGGCCUUUAUUGAGAAUUUGGUACAAUUCCCGGUCGAUCGGUCAAUCUGAGAUGAAUUUAAUGGGUUCUUGAUGUAGUUUUGCCUCUUUGGAUUCGUACUUCUGUGGUCUUUAUUGAGAAUUUGGUAUAAUUCCUGGUCGAUCGGUGUUCUUGAUACUGCGAAUUGAUAAUUCUUUUGUUAGCGUUUGCUUUGAGGUUUCUUUCAGUUUUCUUGGAUGCGAGCUUUGUUGGUUGUUUUCAGAAGGUAUGUGAUGCAGAGUGAUUCUGGUUUGGUAGAUGAUUUGUUGAUUCUUGCCUAGCUGAAGCUGAAUUCAAUGGAUCGAUGCUUUUGGUACUAGUUUUGAAUAUUUGGAUAGGCCUGCUCUUUGUCGCUUUACAUGAGAAUUUCGAUCAGCACCCUUUGAUACUGCAAUUUGAGAUGCAGCAAAUUAGUAAUUCACAAGGAAUGAGUCAUAUUUUAUGUUUGUUAUUAUAGGCUAUUAUUAUGCUACAUCAGAUCCGGAGAAUUGAGGCAAAUCGUAGCUGAUUCGUUGUGCUAUUCUGUUUGUUUGAUCUCUCUUUCCUUCAGAAUCUGUCGGUUGAGUGGUGCCUGCUUCUCUAUUAUGUUUUCUUUGUGUUGUAUAACUUGUAUUCAUCGCUUCGUAUUACAUAUUUGGUGUGGACCUAAUUGUUGGAAUUAGGCUUUAUGUUCAUGAUUUCGUUUCUGUUAACUUGAUUCUUCAUGGUCUUUUAUUAUCUCUGCUUUGGGUAUGACAAAUUCAGAUUGGGUUUUUGUUGGUUGUUUGUUAUAUUGUAGGUAGAUCAUAGGUCUGUGUGUUUGUUCUCCUUAUAUGUUGAUUUUUUUUUCUUUUUUUGGUGUGAUAUGCUUUACCUUUUGUUUGUUACUUAUGAUGUUACAUUACUGAUGCUUCAAAGUGUUUUGUGCUCAUUUUUUGUUGUUUUACUUAUUUAUUUUUGGUGAUUGGUUUAUCUAUGUUCUAGUCUAUGCUUUAGCAUUGUACCUCACGAGCUCAGCUUGCAUAAGGUGACAGGAGUUGCAGGUUUUGUUUCCAAUGUGUAGAUGUGUUAUCAUUUUAUGUCACUAUAUUUGAUGUUGCAAAAUCGCACCCUUAGGUUGCAUGUGGCAAAAACUGCACGAUAAAGCUCUUAUUAGUGUUUAUUAUUGUUUUUGUGGGUUCAUGCUUACUUUUAACUAAUAAAAAAAUUACGAGCGAUAUCUGGAUGCUUCUCUGAAGUUCAGGUACCAGAAUUUAGUUGCAUGGGAAGUCACUCUAUUUGUAUCUGAGGUAUUUAUUUAUUUAUUUUUGACUGUGUACCUAUUCUAAUAUUCACAGAAACAUUAGGCUGGUUGACAGCAUCACCUUUUUACUGGAUUGGGGAUGUCUGUUAUAAUGUUGGUACUGCCUUCAUAAUCUCGUUGUGUUCAUUAUUUCGUUCAACUAAACAUCUUUUUUGACUUUUGAGCACUUGAAGAGUUGAAAGAAUCUGGCAGCCCUUAUGGUUGGGGUUGUCUUUCUUGGGUUGAGAUCUGAAGUCAAUCGACAGCUCUAUUAAAUCAAAAUUGUAAGUCAACAUUUGUUAUUUUCUGGAGAAGCAAAUAUUUGACGCACCAUACAGGUAUAACAGAAACACUGGUAUUCAGAUUACUGUGAUCAUUGGCUUCUCUUUCAAGGUAAGUACUUCUUUUUCAAGGUAAGUUGUCUAGCGGCUUUGGAUAUCUAUCCAACCGCUAAUGAUUUUUCUGUGCUAGGGAGCUUUUGGUCACACUGUGACUAUCAUCUACUUGCCUUUCAAGAGUUUGUGUAGUUCCAACUUUAUGCUGAACAGCUAAUUGAGAGUGGAUUUUCAAGCCUUCUAUAGACUUUGUGCUAUCAAGCAAUGUUUCUUUAUUUGCAAUCUCAAGUUGUCUCAGAUCAAGUUAUAAUUAUUAGGCACCUGAUUUGUUUGACCAAUAUUUGUUAUUAUCUGGAGGAAUGAUUGGCAUCUGCCAGCUCUUGCAAUGACCGCAGCAUAGAGAUAUGGCGAUAGUCCUUUUAUUAUCAUUCAAAAUUUUGUGAUCAUUGGCUUUCUUUUAAGAAGUUAUUUAUGCGGUGGCUCUGGAUAUUUAUACAAGCUGCUAAUGAUUUGUCUACUCUGGGGAGCUUCUUAAAGCCCAAUGAUCUAUCUUCUAUUUCAUUCUUAAGAGCUUCAUUGUGUAGUAGUUUUUAUUCUGACUCAUGUUUGUUGGAGCUUACAAUUAAGGGGUAGAUUUAAUAUUCCACGGUCAUAUCAUCUAAAUAGAUGGUUGGAGUUGCAUCAUCAGUAAAAGGGGGGGUGCUCAAAUCAUCAAUAAAGAGGAGUGCUCAAGCAUAAUUGUAAUAGUAUCAUGGAGGACUUUAAUAUUUUGGUGAUAUUAUUUUCUAAUUGUAUUGUAUCCAGUUCAGGUGGUUGUGUCAUGCUUCGUUUCUUUUAUUGGUCUUUAGCAUAAUUGUAAUAGUAUCAUGGAGAAUUUUAAUAUUUUGGUGAUAUUAUUUUUUGACAGUACUGUAUCCAGUUUAGGUUGUUGUGUCAUGCGUCGUUUCUUUUAUUGGUCUUUGAGAUCUUAUCAAUAGUCGGUCUCAUUUAUUGAGCAGCUACUAUUUUUGUGUGACAUUCAUCUUUUCUAUGCAACAGAGAUCAGGCCAUUUAUAGGCCCGUGCAAAGUACAGAAAGGAGAAUUGGAUGUAGAUAAGGGAUCCUCAAAACUGUCCAUUUUGGUCUUUUGUGCCUUCAUGUUUUAUAUAUAUAUAUAGAUUGAGAGAGUACAACUUGUGCUUUCCAAAGUAUGGAGACCUUUGUGCUUUCAAGUUGUUUUCAGCCGUUCAUUUUGAGACUAUUUGUUCACUAGGCAAAUAAAGUAAAAAAAAAUUGCAAAAUUUGAUUUCUAGAUAGUUUCAAUGAUGUAACUUAUGUCUAACGGAAUUGAUCGUCGAAUUCAGAUGUUUCGUCAUAAAAGAUAACUUGAAAGUACGAAGGCAUCCGUGCUUUCGGAAGUAUACAAGCCUAUUUCUAUAUACAUAUAAAAUGUUUCUGUGCUUGUCUUGAAGGUUAUUUACCUGGGUAGAAAUCAUUUAAUUUAGGUUGCCCAUUGCCAUAUUUUGGAUGGGUGCUUUGUUCAUAAUUGCUUAGGAAGGUCAACAUCCUUUUCUUCGAUUACUGAGCAUAAAAAAAUUAGAGUUAUGUAAGGGAUAUGUGAAAACUGUCGGUUCCUCCUAUUGCCGCACUUGGAUUAUUGACGUUAUCUUUCUCAACUUGCACUAAAAGAUCAUUUAUCAUGGUUGCCCAUUACAAUCCUUCUCCAUGGGGACUUUGUGCCUCAAGGACGUCGUCCUUUUCUUCUUGUUCUUGAGUUUUACUUAUUGCUCUUACAUUAUUCUCUGCAUUCUUGGCCGGCUUGUCUUGAUGAACAUUCUAUCCAAGUUGCUUAUCACAUUUACAGUACGGCAUCACAAAUAUUCUUUUUCUCUCUUCACAGGAAGUUGUCUGAUUAUUUAGUUUUUUAUUCUGAAAUCUUUAGAUUUCUAUGUUACUACUAGUUUAUUAGGAUGUGGAAUGGAACUUACUUAUAAUUGUGAGCCUAAGGUGGUAGGUUGAGUUGCAUUGGUUAUUGCUGCAACAUUUUUCGUUAGUUUGAUCAUCGAAGGGAUGUACAAAUUGGUUGUAAAAUUAUUCUUGCCUUGUAAGUAGCAAUUGCUGGUUGGCUUUCCAUUUUUUUCACUUAAAAAGUAGGAGUAAAAGAAAUUGUAAGAUGGAACUCUAAUUCUCCUUGAUUAUUAUGACAAUAUGUACUGGGUGGAACUCUAUACGAGUUAUAGAUAGCUUUGAUAAUAAUUCACUUUUUAUGCUUUUUUUUUUUUUCACUAGUCUGCUCUUUUGAGAUCAUUUUAUAAGGGAUUGAGGUUGCUCUUUUAGAAUGUUUAUCUAUGGAGAUGAUCAAUGCCAUUAUAGUUAAUGCUAUGUCUCUUUUUUGUUUCAGUAUUUAUUCUGAGCUGCUAUUUUGGUUUAAGGGAUUGUGGAUUUAUAAGAAUCCUGUUGUCACUUGCACAUUUCUUUGAUUGAUUUUCAAAGUUAAUGAACAGUCUGGUAAGGUAAGUUUUGAGAACAUUUUGAGGUGAUCUACUGCACUACUUGUAACGACCCGACCCGCUAGCAAUAAUAACUCGUUGGGCCUAAACCACUGGCCCAAAAUGCUUAAGCCCAGUUAUUUUUACUAGGAUGGAGUCCUUUUAUAAACCCAAUGAUAACGACCCAACUAACGAGUUAUUAUUGCUAGUGGAUCGGGUCAUUAUAUUUGGUAUCAGAGCCGGUUCACCAGUCGAAAGUUUAAGAUGAGUCUUGGUUGAGCCAAGGUCGGAAUGACAGACAAAGCCAGGAUCGGUGAAUGACAAGCUAAGUCAGUAUCGGAAUGAUAAGGCUAGCGAGACAAUUCUUACAUCGCCUGGUGAUCUUGUGCUGUGUGUGUUUAGGAUUGACGAGGACGUCAGGGCCUAAAUGGGAGGAGUAUGGGACACCCCAAUAGACCCAUAUUAGAUAUGAAUGGGAUUGUCAUUGGGUAUAUAAGAGGAUUUCAUUCUAGUAAAAAUAACUGGGCUUAAGUAUUUUGGGCCAGUGGUUUGGGCCCAACGAGUUAUUAUUGCUAGCGAGUCGGGUCGUUAAACCACUCUUCCUUCAUUUGUUUCUUUCUUUUCCCAACAACAUGCACAAGAAAAGCAGUUGGAAGAGAAUAUGAAGCCCCCUCUAUCCUAAUUUUCUUUCAAAAAAAGAAACCCUUAUCAACUCUUAUCCCUUUUUUCUUCUCUCCUUUACCUCUUUUUACUUCCUCUCAUUGCUCCUUUUUUCUUCACCUUUCAAAUAGCCUUCAUUCUAUCCCCCAUUUAUAGAUUGACCGAGAGACCGAGAACCUGACCUCCCAGCAAUAUAUAAAGCUGAGCUACAAUUCUUAAAUAGCUAAGGCGAUUGACACCCAGUGAAAACAAGACAUUUCCAAGAAAGUUGGAAAAAAAGUUUUCCGUGAAAACUACUUUAUGGGAAUCAAAUGGACUAAAAAUACAUAUGUAACAUCUCCACCUAAAAAUAUUAUUUUAUGAGAUACUUCUUGGUCACCCAAACACCGCUAAACUGUUGAUUUUUGCCCCUUGAAAUGCCACAGAGAUGACCUCUUUCAUUUCUAUCUUUGUUUCACCGUACAGCACCAUAGAAUCUCCAAAAAUAUCUUUACAAACAUAAUAUAAAAUGCUAACAGAGUUAAUUCCUCGGACAAAAAAGGCAAAUUGCACGUAGGACCUUGGGGCUUUGUUUUAAGGGCUAUUUUUUUCACAUUUAAGUAAGUCCUUACCUUUAAUUUUUAUUUGCCUGCGGUCAGAUCUUUCUAUCAAUGACGCUAUUAUGUGUUAGCUCUUUGUUUAUUUUAUUUAAGUUGGUUCUCACAAUUUAAAUUGUCACAUUGUUGCCUUCAAUAUUUUCAACCUGCUGUUAGAUCUUUCUAUCAGUGACAAGUAAUAUGUGUUAGCGCUUAGGCUUCAGGGCUUUGUUUCAUAUAUAAGUUUAAGUCUAGGCCUCCAGUCUUUGUUUUCAUGUUUAAGGUAACCCUCAUUAUUUAAAUUAUUACGUUGUUUACCUUAAAUUUUUAUUUUCUUGCGGUUAUAUUGAAAGAAAAAAAUAGUUUCGUGUGCAAUGGCUUGCAGUCAUUUAUCUUUUCCCCUCUAAGCAAAAGCAAAAUAUACCUAAGCAAAAUCAUCAUUAGAUUGAUAAUAAUUUAUAGGUUGCAAUUAUAUGCGUGAGAAAUCACUUUGUAUGGAAGAUUUUACAAUAUUUGAACUUAUGGAAGUAAAUGGAAAGAUUGAAUUGCAAUUUCUUAUGUUAUGAAUUGCCUUGAUGCUAUGGAUUUGAGUGUAAAGCCUACAUCGCCACCUAUAAUUUACCCGGACCAACAAAAAGAAGAACAAACAUUAUAAAACUUAUAGUAAGCAUCAGAAACAAUGCUGUUUCUUGCACAAUACGAGCUAUAGCUGACAAACAGGUUGCUGAGUAAACAACCUUGUGUUCUCUGAUUGAAUAAGGAGAUGUUCUGGCAGAGCUAAAAAGCUAGAGACUUCUUUGAAGAAGCAAGCUUAGGACAGUAUAUUCUUAUCAUCAAUAUGCGUCUUCUUGCUUGAGAUAAGUCCACUUUCCAUUGAUGUUCCACCAGAAAUAAAAACCUCAUCCCUGUUUCAGCAGCAAUCAGUUUUUGUCUACUAGGCUCCAGUUCCCUCUGAUGCUGACCAGUUCUAGCGAUAAAAUAACAAAAAAUUAAUGAUAAUAUGGAAAUAACCCUCAAAUUAUGAUUUUGAGAUCUCAAACUAUAAUUUUUUUUUUAUUGCUCCUGAUUGUCCUAGCAAUUUUUUAUUUUUCUUUAUUUAUAUGUUAUUAAUUCUGUUAAUAUUUUUUUGCCAUUUUAUCUGUUUAUCCUGCUAACAGUUUAACAUUUUAUUUCUCACUUUAAUUUUAUUCUGUUUAGUCCGGUAGCUCUAGUUUUAUGCUGCUAACUAUGAUAACAUUUUAUUUUCUGCUUUAUUUUAUUCUGCUAACUUUUUUCACUUUUUAUUUCCACUUUUUUUUUAAAAAAAAAUUAGCUAACUUUGAUAAUGUUAUCAGAGCUUAAACAGAGAUGGUCUAAUUAGGAAAGGCAUAAUUAAGUGGAUACUUAAUAGGGUAUCUGUGGAGCAUCAAACCCCAAUUUGAUUCUAUAAUUUUGGGGAAUUGACUGUCCCUUUUUGGAGUAUUAUCCAUUGGCUUCUCCACCAUAGGAUUUGCAAGGAGCUUAAACUAUUUUUCUUCAUUUUUCUUUCUGAAAACAUCGUUGUCCUUCUCAUUGUUGUUCAGGAUGUAAAGUGGCCACCAAGUCAAACUUAAAUUGUGGACUUGACAUUAUGGCCUCCUUUCGGAUUGCGAUACCAAAAGCACUUCUUUUCAUGUACAAAAGAUUAGAAAGCUUUUUUAAUCUUUCUUUCUAAGUUAUAAAAUAGUGGCCGUUCCUCCUAUGAUUUGUAGCAUUGGAGGAAGAGGUUGUUCCUCCCAUGAUUUGUAGCAUUGGAGGAGGGGAAUUUGACAGCACUUCCAGUUUCUUUUUUAGCCUUACAAAGCAUAGAAGUGGUUACUUUAGGCAAUGCAAUCCCAACGUAGACAUGCAUGACUUAAAUGAGCUACAGAUAUAGGUUUGGGAUGAGAUUUGGCCCAUAAAACUUAGCAGUAUAAUUUCAGUUUGGAGCUCAGCUUUGACGCUUCUACAGUGUUUGAAAAGGCACGCCUGAGGCGCGCGCCUCAGCGCCUAGGCACGAGGCGCGGGCCUUCGCUUCUCAGCAAUAGCGAGGCGAGGCGCUAUUGCUGAGGCGCGCGCCUAGGCCCUGAGGCGCGCGCCUCAGGCAAGGUGCGAGGCGCACAUAAGGCGCGCGCCUCGGCAUAUUUAAUAUUUUUUGAAUUUUGGAUUAAAGUUUUCGGGUUAUUGGGUUUCGGAUAUAAAUUUUAUGUUUUAGCCUGAUAAGAUUAGUAAAGGAAUCUAAAAGAAACCUAAAAAAACCCUUAUGAAAUCCAUCUACCGCCCUCUCCUCCUACCACUCUCUCUUUUUACCGUCCUCUUCUCCUUCUUGAGGCCAAAUGAAAACAUUGGCACCACAAUCACUUUUAAGUUGAAAGUCGAAAUAUAUAUAUUUUUUACUUGAGAACCUAUAUGCAUGUGUUUUCUUUACUUUUUUAUAGUUAUUUUAGUUUUGUAUAGUUAUUUUGGAGUUUUUUUAAUGUAGAAUAUCUAAUUAAAUUACAGUGUGCCUCGCCUUCUUGAGGCGCGCGCCUCGCAGUGCGCCUCGCGCCUAGACUCCUGGAGAGUCUUGCGCCUUUUUGCGCUUCGCGCCUUUUCAAACACUGCGCUUCUAUGAAUAUGGCCUUUUAUGUAUAUGCUGUUAGUGUGCAACCAGAUAUACACACAAAACAAGCUCAGUUUUGCAUAUCUUCUAAUUAUUUUUCUUCCACUUAAUCUUUCUCUAUUCAAUUUCAAUUUCAUUUUGGGCACAGAAUUCAUUGGGUCACAUUACUUCUAAGGUGGUCUUGCGUACUGUGGUGAUGCUUGAUCGGGUUUGGGGUCUAGGCUUGUCCGUUAAUCUCAAUUUCCUGUUAUUUGUACUUUCUUCAUCACAAAAGUUUUCCGGUCCUAUAUAUAUAUAUAUAUAUAUAUAUAUAUAUAUAUAUAUAUUCUUGAGCAUGCAACCAGAUAUACACACAAAAUAAGCUCGGUUUUGUAUAUCUUCUAAUUAUUUUUUCUUCCACUUAAUCUUUCUCUAAUCAAUUUUAAUUUUAUUUUAGCCACGGAGUUUAAUGGGUCAUAUUAUUUCUGAGUUGUUCUUGCCUAUGGGCAGAUGCUUGAUCUGAGUUGGGGAUGCGCGCUCAUCCAUGCUUGUCAGUUAAUCUCUGUUUCCUGUCAUUUUUACUUCAUCACAAUAGUUAUCUGAAGUGCUUAAUUAUUUACUUAAGUUUAACUAAGAUACCUUUUCCCCAACCUAAUAAUACCAAGAAGGGCUGCCUCAGUUGCUUUGGCGAUACCAACUAGCUGUUUCUCCUUUUACUAGUUUGAUCAUGUAGUAUUUAUUAUUUUUAUUAUUAUUAUUAUUAAUAUUGACAAUAUUUAAACAUUGUUUUCUACUAGCUUAAGCUUUUAGAAAAUAAUGGUUGUUUCAUAUAAUUUAACAUGGUAUUAGAGUAGGAGGUUCUGAGUUCCGAGUCUUGCCGGGCUCUUUGCAUUAUUAAUUUUCUCCCAUUUAAUUCACGUCCGCGUCAUGGGUCUUGCGAAAAGUGCUGAGCCAGAUGUGAGGGGGAGUAUUAAAUAUAAAAAUAUUUAAACACCGUUCUCUAUCAGUUUAAGUUUUUAGAGUACAGUGGUUGUUUCAUAUAAUUUAACAACAAUUUUCUACCAUGGCUUACUAAAUGCUUGGGAUGGUCUAUUACUGGCAGAGCUGGCUGCGUGGGUUGGGGAGUAUUUGCUAGGCUUACAUUUAAGUCCUAAUUAAUUAUGUUUUUAUUAUUGUCAGUUUGUACUUUGUGGUGUCCUUUUCCAUAGUGGAUUGAUUGCAAAGUUCAAGUUUUAAAUUUCAUAUGGCAUGUGAAGACAUUUCAUGUAAGGUCAACCUUCUUUCUAUUCCUUAAUUUUGUGAUGAGGUUCCUUCUCUACGUUGACAAAUUCUUUGAUUGUGUCUCUAUUUGAAUUUGGUAUUCUCUUUUUAUCGUAUUUUUAUUUUGGUGUCUGUAUUAAUUCUCCUUUGGUGGUUUUGGAAUUUAUUCUGAAUGGCUGUUGACUGUGAUGAAUCACUAAAAGCCUCUUGCAGUCUUUGUGGUCAAAAGUUUUGAGGACUAAAGUUGAUUCACAGCCUUUACAGUUGUCUGCUGGACUGAUGAAUUGAUAUGUUUAACCUUUUGUAUCAGCUGACGCUGACCAGAAGAUGCAGUUUUCUAUUAUAUAGUACUUGGUGUGAAUGAAUUCAUUUGGAGCAUGGUCUUGGAGGUCAUUCCUUCGGCAGAACUUGAUAUUUAUUUGAGCUGCUUACAUUGCUGUGUUUGAGGAUUUUUUUGUAAUCUUUGUUGCUGCUGGGGUGACAAUGCUCUCCACAGCCUUUACAGUUGUUCACUGGACUGAUGAAUUGAUAUGUUUAACCUCUUGUAUCGGCAGAUGCUGACCAAAAGAUGCCGUUUUCUAUUAUAUAGUACUUGGUGUGAAUGAAUUCACUUGGAGCAUGUUCUUGGAGGUCUUUCCUUCGGCGGAACUUGAUAUUUAUUUAAGCUGCUUACGUUGCUGUGCUUGGGGAUUUUAUCUGUAAUCUUUGUUGCUACUGGGUGACAAUGCUCUCCACAACUUGUAUUCUUCCUUUUCUUUCUCAAAAGCUGCUUUUUAUCUGCUCUGAUUUGAUUUCUUAAUGGUUCUAGGUGAACCAAAUUGUGUUCAUGUGAUUUGCCUUUUGGUUUAGCAAUGUCUGGUGUGAAUUAUUUGAUCUUAGGACAAUAAAAUAUGGUUUAACUGAAGGGCGAUGCUCGGCUAUAUGUGCGAUAUCACCUCAAACUGUAUUGUGUAGUGGAGGAUUAAUCUUAUCUAUAAUGGUGGUAUCAGCUUGCAAGGAUUAAAUAUUGAGGCGUAGGGGUGCGCUUGGGACAUGGUCGUCAUGAUAUGGAUCGGGCACGCUGCCGUGCCAAGUACGGAUACCCAACAACCAUGCUUUGGAGGUCUUAUUUUGCUGUUAUGCGGAGUUGUGAUAAUAAUGCAUGAUUUUUGGAUCUUUUCUUAUUAUAUUGUAGUUAUUACUGGGAUUGAUUAUGGACGUUAAAUCAUCUUGCAGCUUUAUGGCCUCGGUGUGUAUCUGUGAUUUGCAUUUAACGUUGGUCUAAAUUAUUGGUGUCUAGGCAGACCUGCAUUUCUUCUAUCCACUGGUGUUGACAGAAUUCAUAUAUACUAGCUUUUCCAAAAUCUGCAUAUAAGUAUGUGUUUGACAAUGAAUGCAACAUUCUUUUGGUAGUUGAUCAUUCCAUCGGUUAUAACUUCUUUGACUUGGCGUUCUUGAUUGGCUUGUUCUUGGAGCUUCUUUGUCUAGUGGAGUUGGGAAUUUUUGUUUUAUUUUACUUUUUUAUUUUUUAAGCUGUUGGCGAUGCUUUUGAGCUUUGGUACUGUUUCAAUCACCUUUUGAAAUAAAUUUUAGCUAUGUUAUUUGCAA